rnacentral:hammerhead_ribozyme from 1 species
AUCUAGAUGACGAUUCCCAAAUAGGACGAAAUGCCCAUCGUGGAU